UGUAAUCAGAGCAGGUAUCAGGCCCAACAACGUUAGCCCAUCACACCUUGCCAAGCCACAUCCCCACGGAUUACACAGCAGUGACCAACAUUAGGCAAUAAGCACACAAAGCUUGACCUAGCUAAAAUUUUCCCCGGCCGGCAAAUCUCGUGCCAGCAGCCGCGGUUACACGGGAGGCCAAAGAUAACACACCUUCGGCGUAAAGAGUGACUACGAAUUUUCCCAUCCCCGGAUCUUAAAAUUUUACCUCAGAGAUGAAAUCCUAAGGUAUUCAGAGCCUCAAAAUAUCCUAAGAACAGGCCAUCCAACUCACGAAAAUCGGGGCACNNACUAGGAUU
rnacentral:rRNA from 1 species